rnacentral:rRNA from 1 species
UACGUAGGUGGCAAGCGUUGUCCGGAAUUAUUGGGCGUAAAGCGCGCGCAGGCGGUCCUUUAAGUCUGAUGUGAAAGCCCACGGCUCAACCGUGGAGGGUCAUUGGAAACUGGGGGACUUGAGUGCAGAAGAGGAAAGCGGAAUUCCACGUGUAGCGGUGAAAAUGCGUAGAGAUGUGGAGGAACACCAGUGGCGAAGGCGGCUUUCUGGUCUGUAACUGACGCUGAGGCGCGAAAGCGUGGGGAGCAAACAGG